CUCUCUCUCUCUCUCUCUCUCUCUUUUGCUCUGCCCUUCGUUCGUUGCUCGCUUUUGCUCCUUCUCGGGACCAGCUUUGAACGAACACGUUGCAAUAGGCAAGAUUGUAGCAUAUUCCUAAGCCAAAUAGUGUAUAUUAGAUGAUGGCGCCUCAAAGAAGAGGCACAACAACAUGCAAUAGGGUAGGGUGGAAGGAGAUGGGUGACUCUGGCUCGAGCAGACCCUACCCAAAAUCAUUCGGUUGGAGAACCACCAUUGAGGCAUGUGCCACAAUGGCUAAUACCUCUGACACAAACUACGGUGAUAUUGACCUUGGAGACUACUCACUUUUUGAGUUAGCUGCAACCAAUUAGUCAAGAAUAAUGGAAACAUGAUGACAGAGUAAGUUAAAUAUUUGUAAGACUUCAGGAAGCAUGACCCCCAACCUUUGGACCCAGAGGCCGUAGACCAUACCACGAGAAAAGCGUGAUUGUCCUCGAUUAAAAUAGGGGAUUCGAACUUUAUCUUUUAAUUGAGAAUACAGUUAGAGUGAAGUUGGAGAAUCUCCCUCUUGAGCUAGCCAGCGACAUUAUCUGGUUCAAAUUUCCAGGUCUAGUCUUCACUGUUUUUUUUUUUUUUUUUUUUUCUACCAUGACUAAAUUGUCAACUUUCUUAAACAACAUCAUGUUUCUAUUGUUUCUUAAAAAAGAAAAAGAUUUGAUUUUUAUAUGAGAUCUCAAAUACUUUAGUAGGUGUCCUUCCUAUUGUUUUUUUCCAAUAAUUGAACCAUGUAUUUAGUGUCAUAAACAAAACAAUCAUUUUCACCAUUUUAUCUCUCUAAAAUUAUUAUUUCUCUUGUCUGGUGAGGGAGAAAGAAUAUUCUCUGACUUUUUCCCACAAAAAAAGCUAUUGAGAAAGAGAGAGAAAGGAGAAACAAUUGUACUAAAUAUUAGUUAGAUGACAAAGCUGUGAGACACACAAAACAUGUCCAUGUGGUUCACCAAAUGCUCAUCAUAUAGGGUUUUGUGGGUC